rnacentral:rRNA from 1 species
UACGUAGGGGGCAAGCGUUAUCCGGAUUUACUGGGUGUAAAGGGAGCGUAGGCGGCUUAGUAAGUCAGGUGUGAAAACUCCGGGCUCAACCUGGAGACUGCACUUGAAACUGGGUGUCUUGAGGGCAGGAGAGGAAAGUGGAAUUCCUAGUGUAGCGGUGAAAUGCGUAGAUAUUAGGAGGAACACCAGUGGCGAAGGCGACUUUCUGGACUGUACCUGACGCUGAGGCGCGAAAGCGUGGGUAGCGAACGGG